CGUACACUCCUGCGGGAGGCAGCAGUGGGAAUAUUGGACAAUGGGCGCAAGCCUGAUCCAGCCAUGCCGCGUGAGUGAUGAAGGCCCUAGGGUUGUAAAGCUCUUUCACCGGUGAAGAUAAUGACGGUAACCGGAGAAGAAGCCCCGGCUAACUUCGUGCCAGCAGCCGCGGUAAUACGAAGGGGGCUAGCGUUGUUCGGAUUUACUGGGCGUAAAGCGCACGUAGGCGGACUAUUAAGUCAGGGGUGAAAUCCCGGGGCUCAACCCCGGAACUGCCUUUGAUACUGGUAGUCUUGAGUUCGAGAGAGGUGAGUGGAAUUCCGAGUGUAGAGGUGAAAUUCGUAGAUAUUCGGAGGAACACCAGUGGCGAAGGCGGCUCACUGGCUCGAUACUGACGCUGAGGUGCGAAAGCGUGGGGAGCAAACAGGAUUAGAUACCCCAGUAGUCCCAUG
rnacentral:rRNA from 1 species